rnacentral:lncRNA from 10 species
CGGGGCCUCAGUGACAUCAAUCAUCAUAUGCAAGAUGAACAUUGGCUUGGUCCAGAAAGGCGGGACCUCGGUCCAGAAAGGCGGGACAACUUGAAGCCAAGACAGGAAGCAGGAAAGGGGCUUCCAGGUCACAGGUAGAAACAAAUGGUUGCAUCCUUUUGAGUUUCUGAUUAGCCUCUCCAAAGGAGGCAACAAGAGAUGCGUUUAUCUCAGUGAGCAGAAGGGUGACUUUGAAUAGAGUGGGAGGCAGGUUGGCCCUGAGCAAUUCCCAGCUUGACUUUUCCCUUUAGCUUAGUGAUUUUGGAGCCCCAAGAUUUAUUUUCCUUUCACAGCAUGUGGCGGUUCUUUAUUCUCAUAAAUGAUUUCAAAACAUUAUGCACUUGGGGGAUUUUAUAAUGAAAAAUCGCGGUGUCCUAUUAAAGCACAAAGAGGCAAAGCAGAAGCAGCAGACAGGACGUCAAAGAACCAGUGCAUGGCUGCGCCGGGCCCCGGGGCUUCCCACACGGGUUACUGUCAUCCUUCCGAAUCACUGGACUUGAAGCCCAGCAUGUUGCUGAGUUUUGCUCCAGAGACAAUUGCCAUUUGUUAUUUAAGUGACAAAGGUAACGCAUGCCGGCGGGAAGCAAUGCACAAAAUGUGAAGGGAAGUUAGUUUUGGCUGCCAGCAGCUUUGUGGGACACAACCACAAGAAUGGAAGAUACAUGGCCAUUAGGAUUCUCACCUCCGGGACCAGAAGGAUCUAGACUCACUAGCUGUAUAAAUGUAGUCAAGUAAUUUAAACUCUUAAAACUACACAUGUCCUUGUCUAUAAAUUGAGAAUAAUAGUAUAGUUGUGAAGCUUACAUAUUUUAGGUAGAAUGUGAUUGUUGUUCGGCACACAGGAAAUGCUCAAUGCAUGUCAACUCUUAUUACUGUCACCAUCAUGCAUCUACAAAGGGCUUGAGUGACUAACAAAAAUUAAAUCAAGAUUUGCCCUAUCAUGAGUACUUACCUGUGUUAUCAAACUACACUUGAAUUCACCUAUUCAUGAGGUUGACCCUGUCACUCGUGUUCCAUUGUGG